UGGCAGGGCUCAAGGAGUGUGACCUGGGCCCCGAGGGAUUGUGCCUGCCCAGUGCCCCUACAGGCGGGCACAGGAUGGCUUGCCCUUGCGAGCUGAAGCCUGCUCAGCUCCCGGUGACUCCAGGCAGGCUCAACUACCUCCCCCCUCUCCUCCGCGGGCCCACAAGCCACCUCCCCCUGGAAUUUCCACCCUGCUCCUGGCUUGCCCAGGAAAAGGAAACAGGGAACAGGAGACACCCCUGGGAGUGGAGAGACCUAUCCCUGUGGCUACCUGUCAGAAUUCUGCACAUCCUACAAGGCCCAGCUGAAAUGCCACCUCAUCCAGAAGGCUUCUCAGGCCUUGGACUCCAAAAGCCUCUCACCUCUGCAGCUCAGAGUACCCACCCAUGAAGAUGCUCUCACCAGCUGCAAUUCACCAGGAUGGUGGGGGCCCCGGCAGCCGGAGUCCCCAGCGCUGAACACCUGGCAGCUUGAACUGGUAUCUUUCGCCUCCAUGGUGACCCAUCUGAUGACAAUAAAUGGGAAGGACCUUCUGGAGACAACAACUUGCCGGAGGAAAGGUACUGACAGUGGGACUUCAGCUCUGUGCUGGGCCAUAAGGAGCUUCUGUUGGGUCAGGUGGUCCCACCCUGUCCCCCCAGGCACCCAGUCAGUCCAGACCAGCAAGGCAGGGAAGAGGUGUAAUCCUGUUUCUCCCUGCACCAAGCCAGCAGGAGCAACCGGGCCCCAGGGUGCCUCAGUCCCAGGGACCUGCAAACACUCGCGGGAGGGAGAGGCAAGAGGCAGGCAGCAGCCCCAUAAAUCCACCUGAGUGAGCAGUGCUUUUAAAAGCCCUUUCACUACAGGAUACAAAACGCACUGUUUUGGGAGAGGAUUUUAUAGGCUAUUUCUGCUCUUGGGUGAUUUACAAUCUGCAGGUCAGGCUCACCUGGGAGUCCUGCCCUGAGGGAUCAUGGGAGCCCAUGGGUGGAGUAAAGGUCAAUUUCAAGGCCAGGGUUGGUGCCCUUGCUGGGCUUUGCCACCGGGUGGUGGUCUGGGUGACUUGUCCUGACCUCUCCUCCCAAGACAAAAGGUGUGGGGCUCUCAGAAGCAAGGAGAUGGAUGCCCGCCUCGCGUCUCCUCACCCUGCACUCGCUUAUUCAUCCACUGCCUCUCACACACCUUCACCCCACAAGCUCCUCCAUGUGCCCAGCCCCAGUGCCUGGAGUUCAGAUACAUCAGAAACAGUAGUUGCCCUUGAGAAAGUCCCCAGGUCUGGCGAUAGUUAAGUCUCAGCAUCCGUGUUCUGGAGCCUAAGGGAGGGGAUGCCUGCUGGGGUCCAGGGGGAGCACGGAGCAGAGAAGGAGCUCUCGAGGCAGAGGAAUGGGGAGGAACUGUGGCAGCAGAGCCAGCUGUGCAAG